rnacentral:rRNA from 1 species
UUGACGGGGGCCCGCACAAGCGGAGGAACAUGUGGUUUAAUUCGAUGAUACGCGAGGAACCUUACCCGGGCUUGAAAUGCAUCUGACCGGCCUUGAAAGAGGCACUCCCUUCGGGGCAGAUGUGUAGGUGCUGCAUGGUUGUCGUCAGCUCGUGCCGUGAGGUGUCGGCUUAAGUGCCAUAACGAGCGCAACCCUCAUCAUUAGUUACCAUCAGGUAAGGCUGGGGACUCUAAUGAGACUGCCAUCGUAAGAUGUGAGGAAGGUGGGGAUGACGUCAAAUCAGCACGGCCCUUACGUCCGGGGCGACACACGUGUUACAAUGGGUGGUACAAAGGGCAGCUACCUGGCGACAGGAUGCUAAUCUCGAAAACCGCUCUCAGUUCGGAUCGGAGUCUGCAACUCGACUCCGUGAAGCUGGAUUCGCUAGUAAUCGCGCACUCCUAGCCAUCGGCGCGUGAAUAACGUACCGGUCUG